CCUGACGGUAGUCGUAUGCUCGUCUCCGAGACUAAGCCAUGCAAGUCCAAGUACACGUCCUUGAACGACGGAAACUGCGAACGGCUCAUUAAAUCAGUUGCGAUCUACUCGGCGUUCCGCGCCGCCGGAUAACCGUAGUAAUUCUAGGGCUAAUACGUGCGAAGCGCCCGAAGCCGCGAGGCGACGGGCGUUCUCGCCGGAUGUAGGAACCGACCCGGGGACCGCCGGGGCAACCCGGCGCCCCCGAGACGGGCGAACCACGGUGAAUGACGGAUCGUCGGCCCCGCGCCGGCGACUCGCCGAAUGAGUUUCUGACCUAUCAACUCGAGACGCGGGGUAGAGGCCGCCGCGGUAACGACGGGUAACGGGGAAUCGAGGUUCGGAUUCCGGAGAGGGAGCCC
rnacentral:rRNA from 1 species